rnacentral:rRNA from 1 species
GGCGGUUACUUUUCCUAGUACCUGCAGCUCUAGCGGGACAGAUGGACACCCGGGGCUAAUACCGGCAUGAUUGUUUGAACCGCAUGGUAUCAGACAUAAAAGGUGGCUUCGGCUACCACUUACCGAUGGACCCGCGGCGCAUUAGCUAAUUGGUGAGGUAACGGCUCACCAAGGCAACGAUGCGUAGCCGACCUGAGAGGGUGAUCGGCCACACUGGGACUGAGACACGGCCCAGACUCCUACGGGAGGCAGCAGUAGGGAAUCUUCCGCAAUGGACGAAAGUCUGACGGAGCAACGCCGCGUGAGUGAUGAAGGUUUUCGGAUCGUAAAGCUCUGUUGUUAGGGAAGAACAAGUGCCGUUCAAAUAGGGCGGCACCUUGACGGUACCUAACCAGAAAGCCACGGCUAACUACGUGCCAGCAGCCGCGGUAAUACGUAGGUGGCAAGCGUUGUCCGGAAUUAUUGGGCGUAAAGGGCUCGCAGGCGGUUUCUUAAGUCUGAUGUGAAAGCCCCCGGCUCAACCGGGGAGGGUCAUUGGAAACUGGGGAACUUGAGUGCAGAAGAGGAGAGUGGAAUUCCACGUGUAGCGGUGAAAUGCGUAGAGAUGUGGAGGAACACCAGUGGCGAAGGCGACUCUCUGGUCUGUAACUGACGCUGAGGAGCGAAAGCGUGGGGAGCGAACAGGAUUAGAUACCCUGGUAGUCCACGCCGUAAACGAUGAGUGCUAAGUGUUAGGGGGUUUCCGCCCCUUAGUGCUGCAGCUAACGCAUUAAGCACUCCGCCUGGGGAGUACGGUCGCAAGACUGAAACUCAAAGGAAUUGACGGGGGCCCGCACAAGCGGUGGAGCAUGUGGUUUAAUUCGAAGCAACGCGAAGAACCUUACCAGGUCUUGACAUCCUCUGACAAUCCUAGAGAUAGGACGUCCCCUUCGGGGGCAGAGUGACAGGUGGUGCAUGGUUGUCGUCAGCUCGUGUCGUGAGAUGUUGGGUUAAGUCCCGCAACGAGCGCAACCCUUGAUCUUAGUUGCCAGCAUUCAGUUGGGCACUCUAAGGUGACUGCCGGUGACAAACCGGAGGAAGGUGGGGAUGACGUCAAAUCAUCAUGCCCCUUAUGACCUGGGCUACACACGUGCUACAAUGGGCAGAACAAAGGGCAGCGAAACCGCGAGGUUGAGCCAAUCCCACAAAUCUGUUCUCAGUUCGGAUCGCAGUCUGCAACUCGACUGCGUGAAGCUGGAAUCGCUAGUAAUCGCGGAUCAGCAUAGCGCGGUGAAUACGUUCCCGGGCGUUGUACACACCAAGCGUCACACCACGAGAUUUUGGAGCAGCUCGAGUUGCAACCAGGUAAAGUUGGAGCGGUGAUAAGUCG